CUCAGUGUGGCAUCCUUGCCCACAGAUACCACAAAAGCCUUUGGCCGCGUCAGGAAGCGGGGCGCCCCGCUGAAGGAGUGGUCCAUGGUGGCAGCAGGGUUGGGGGGUCUACAAAACGCAAAGAUGAAGGUCAUGGUGCUAUUGAGAUGAGCCAGUCGCCUGUGCCACAUUCGGCCCUCUUCCUUAUCUAACAGUGUUAACAGGAAACCCCAAUUCAACCAAACGGGCACCUCCACGUGGGCUGCCUCCUCCGCAAGUCUCAUUUUCCCCUCCACUCCCGAGCCACUGUGGUGGCUCCGAGGUCCAGCAGUUCACACUAGCCCUUUUCCGUGACUUGGAAGUCUAGCAUCUUUAAUUGCCUGAUGUACUUCCGCUCUACCCCAACUCCAGUCUCUCUACCCAAACCAGCAAGUCCUCUGGACUCCCAUGGGGACACGUUCUUCAGCAGAAAAGGAAAGGAACCCUGACCCUCACCUGAAGAGGUGGAGCUCAUCCUAACCGAAGUGCCCUUACCUGCUGGGCUGAAGGUUCCCCAGACACAUGGCAGGGCACUCUAUGACUCUUCCCACCAUCCUAUGCGUAGCCUGGGGUGGCCCAGCGUGAAACACGUGAACAAGACCAUGCAAACAGCCUCCCACACACAUGUUUAAGGGGAGCUGGACCCAGCCUCAGCAGGUCCACAGGCCCUGGAGAUUCAAGAGUGACUGAAGACUAGAGUUCUCCUAAGCCCCCAUGAUGGUGCCCCUGGGUCUCACUGUCUGCUCAAGGCCUGCAUUCUUUCCACAACUGUUACCAGUCAGUCGCACUGGCCACUAUCACUGGGUCACAAUGACAGCCUCAGAGCCACUCGGCCACCCUGACAAGCAGGUCUUAGGCCAGAGAAGGGCUUCCAGAACUGGGCAUCUGUUCUCUUCCCUACCGAUGAGGAAACCGAGACUGUGACAGAAGCUUCAGGGACUCUAUCCCAGACAGGCCCCUCCUCUCGCCUGCUUUGGGCUGGAGGCACUGGACGUACGUCCUAAGCAGGAGGGUCCAGGUGGUCAUCCCCAGCCUCUCAGAGAAGCCUCUUCCUCCUUGGAAGUCAGCUCUUCCUCAACCCGUAGAGGACUUCUCCAACCCAGCAGGGCGGACUAGGAUGAACCAAGUGGGAGGUGACACACAGACACUGGCCAGAAGCAGAGGCUACCCCCUCCCUGGAACUCCACCUUGCUGCCCCCCCCUUCUCCUCUCCACCACUCCAGGAGCAGAACCAGCAGGCCUGUGGCCCCCAUGCCCUUCUAGAGCAGAUUUCCAAGGGCAGCCCCUGAGCUCAGCCUCACCUUAGACCCCAGGGCUGUGGCUUCCCCCGCUCCCCGGGAAAUUCUUUCCUGGAGUCAAGUGUCAGUACCCCUCUGGCUGUCCCCUCCACUGAGCCAACAGGCCCAAAAUAGCCCCAGCUGUCAGCGGGCAUCCAUCUCAGAAGAGCUGGGGGCAGGGCCACCAGACCCCCAGGCAGCAGGAAGACUAGGGGGCAACCCGGCCAGGGGUGGCACAGUGCUAGCCCCAGCCCUCCCGGAUCCCUAAGGGCAAACUGCCCCUUCCCAUUCUGAGGUCUCAACCAAGAGUCACAGAAGGGCCCAGGUCUGGCAUCCAGCCCACUCUCUUCUCAGGGAGGGGCCCAGGCUGACCAGACCCCUAAGGUCCCCAAGUUCCACAGAACACCAUGACCUUCAGCCCAUCUGACCUCCAGGAGCAAAAGUCGGUCCUCCAGUCAGCUCUGCCUCCUCACCUGUGUCUACCAGGGGUUGGGGCAGCGCCCAGGCAAGGGGCACAGAUGGUGAGUUGGGGGCUGCUGGGUCUUGCCUCCUUCCUGGGGCCCAGGCCGACGUGGUUCCCACCCAGCAGCCCACACUCCAGCCGGUUCUCAGACUGGACAGGGACGAAAGGACAGGCAAAGGCUAUCAGCUGAAGAAGGCUGGGCCCGCCCCUGCCCCACCCCCGUUUCUGGUCAGCCCAGCCCAGCCUAGCUCCAAAAUAGCCCUGGUGUCACUGUCCAGGAUUCAGUUUCACCCUCAGCCCCAAGGAGGCAAAGGGCAGGUGGUCAGGAGCAGGAAGACGCCUGUGUCCUCUCGCUGUGAUGUGGGCAGCAGGGAGAAGGGCAGCUGGUCCAGCUCUCCUCAGACCGGCAUCGUGGAGUGUGGUGGGGGACAGAGCGGAGGGUCCCAGGACGGUGUCGGAAGGUUCCAGUAAGCAGUCCUGAAGGCAGAAGUUGGCACUGACCAUGAAGGGGACCCAGGACCACCACACAGAACCAGGUCUACAUCUAAGGAACCACAAGACCACACAGGGGUCAAGGAUCAGUCCAAGGGGACACAAACCAACCCAAAGACCCAGGCGUACUUUAAAGGAACCCAUGGACACCCAAGAAAAGCCAAGGACCCGCGUCUGCCCUAAGAAGGAUCAAGUUUACCCCAAGGGGACUAGAAGAACCUGCUCUGCUCCCCACCUGGCCCUCCUGGGACCCAGCAGUAUAAGGGGACAGCCAUUAGCCAGGCACUGAUCCCUGACUCAUACCUACUCUACCAUGUCCACAUCUGUGACCCAGGCAACCUUGGUCUCUGUGCCAUGCUCAGGCUGGCUUGGGUCUGUAGUGACCUUAAAUGAGAGUGGAACCCUAAUAAGGACCAACCUAGCCAGGGCCAAGGGGUCUGAGGCUGGGGUUGAGCUGGGCACUGGCAGUGCCUUUAUGCCCCAGGCUGGGCUGUUCAUUCCCCCAGCGUGGACUUGGGCGGCACCUACUGCUUCAUGUCCGAGGAGGACUGCCCAUUCCCUCAAACCCAGAGAAGAUCCCGUCUAGGGAGAAGAUGAGCUGGCAGCAGGGGAGCCUGGGGCUGGGGGUAUCUUCUGGGCUCCUUGGUCUUUCCUGACCCUUGAGGAGCCGGUAUUGAGGAAGGCAUACAGCUCUCCCUGUGGGCCCCAUUUAAGGACAUGGGGAACGAAAGCUUGUCUCUUGUGUGUCACACACGCUCUAGCAUUUCUUAAAAUGUUAGGAAUAUAUCCACCGUUAGUCCAGCAAUGCCUCUCCUGGGGAUAUAGUCAGACCAAAAGAAACGAGUCUGAAAGGCCGCUGCACACCUCUGGGGGCGGCAGCAUGACCGCAGCAGCCAAGGAACGGAAACAACCAAGCGUUCAUCAACUGACCGGGGAUAAAAAAGUGUGUCCGUUGUCAUUUGUUACCCUCGGGGAGUUAGCUCCAGGACCCCUUCCCCACCCACUGAUGCCAAAAUCCACAGAUGUUCAAGUCCUUGAUUCAAAAUGGCUUAGGGAUUGCAAAGAACUUCCAUAUACCCUCCUUCCCUUCCUGGUUCCCUUCCUCACUCCCUGCUCCUCCCUUCCUUCUUCUUUCCUUGGCUUUUUGAUACAGGGUCUUACAACAUAGCCCAGGCUAGCCUCACACUCCCAGUCAGUCCACCUGCUUCAGCCUCCUAGUGCUGGAAUUACAGCUUUGUGCCGCUACAUCCAGCUUCUCUCAUGUAACUUAAUUCAUCUCUGGCUGACUGGUAAUGCCUCAUACAGUGUAAGAGCUGUGUAAACAACUGUCUGUUUUGCUUAGAAAUGAAUGACAAGAAUAGUUCAUACAUA